rnacentral:misc_RNA from 1 species
AGCAGCCGCGGUAAUUCCAGCUCCAAUAGCGUAUAUUAAAGUUGUUGCAGUUAAAAAGCUCGUAGUUGAAUUUCGGGAUCAAUAUAUCGGUCGUGCCUUGGUACGUACUGGUAUCAUUGGUUUCUCCUUUCUGACGAACCAUGAUGUCAUUAAUUUGGUGUUAUGGGAAGUUAGGACUGUUACUUUGAAAAAAUUAGAGUGUUUAAAGCAGGCUUUAGCUUGAAUACAUUAGCAUGGAAUAAUGAAAUAGGACGUUCGAACCUAUUUUGUUGGUUUCUAGGAUCAACGUAAUGAUUAAUAGGGAUAGUUGGGGGCAUUAGUAUUCAAUUGUCAGAGGUGAAAUUCUUGGAUUUAUUGAAGACUAACUACUGCGAAAGCAUUUGCCAAGGAUGUUUUCAUUAAUCAAGAACGAAAGUUAGGGGAUCGAAGACGAUCAGAUACCGUCGUAGUCUUAACCAUAAACUAUGCCGACUAGGGAUCGGAUGAUGUUAAUUUUUUAAUGACUCGUUUGGCACCUUAC